UUGUAUCGUGAAACAACGUAUAAUCUGUGUUUUACAGAAAGGUGAAAAUAAAGAAUAACCUACUCCCAAAUGCCAAAUUAAGUGAUGGAUUGGGCCCACAUUCAAUUAAAAGUUUCAAUAAAUGCUCAAAGAUUUUGCCAUAUGGAAAUACCUCAGAGCAUGAAAUCAAAAUUAACCCUGUGUGGGAUUAACAUGAUGCACCGGGAAAGCACGUCACGUUUGGUAGACAAAAAUGUGAGUAUGCAGAAGGCAAGUGUAACACUUCUGUUUGCUGGCUGAUUCACUGUUCUCUUUCAUAGCUGUAGUAAGGAAGAUGAGACUGGGGAACACAGUUCUGCCUGAUCUGCACGCAAAGAGCUUGGCAGACUUGUUCAAGAAUAUACAUCAUUUAUAUUCAGGCCGUUUCUACCCCAUUUUGUACAACUAGAGCAACAUCAAGAGACUCAAGUUUUGCAGAGACUUGCCUCUAUGACAUGAACUGCUAAUUUAUCUUUGUGCGUGUGUGUUUAAGUAGCUGCUUUCCUUGUACAAGAAACUCACUGAGUUGUCCAAUUAGAUUGUCAGAAGGAGCAUUUUAUUAUUAAGGUCUGAGAAGGCAUGUUUGAGGUGUUUGUUUGGUGUGUACACAUCUGUUUUGAUUAAAUAAUAUUUUUGGUAACAUUUCAUGUUACUGAAUUUUUAGGGUGAAGUUAAACGUGGGAAAUGAUGAAUGAAUGAUUGUCGUAAACAGAAAAGUGAUUUGCUUCCUUUGUGGAGGCAGUCUAUAAUGAUAAACAUGGUUUAGAACUCGAACAGUAUUUCAUACACAGAAAGCUGUUACUAUUCCAGGAACUACAGAAGUCCUUCAUUAUGAACACAGAAUUCUUCUUUCUGUUUCCCAUGCUAUUUAUCUAUUCAGAAAAGUUAAUGCUGUUUUCAAGUCCAACUUAAGCAACCUCCAAGGAACUGAAUUAUUUAAUAAGUACACACUGGUUUCAGGUGGAUUGUGUAUUGAUAAACCUGUUUAUUACUCCACAUGCAAAGCAUCAGCAAAAAAAGGUUCAGUCUAACAUACACAGAAGUCUCCAGCAGCAAAAGAUUAGCAAUAGAAAGCUUAUGGAGAGCAGCCUAUGAUAAUACUGUUCAUUGAUAAGAACCUUCUUUGCUAUAGCUUCUUAUUUCAAAUAAAAACAUUGAAAUGCAACUGGGUUUAGGCAUAAAAUGGGAUAAUAUUUCCAAAAUUUACUACUGAAAUAACUACAUCUGGAAGCAAAUGUCUGAUAAGUAUAUCUUACCUACAUCCUAGCUACAGCUUAACACCUUAACUCAUUUGAUAAGUAGUGUCUUCACAAAUCACAUCUAUGGGAUAUUGAUUUGGAUACUAAAAAUGAGCAGCUC